CAGCAAUUUGCAGUAUAAUUUCAGAUCAAAAUUUGGAUGCUGGUGGAAGAGAUUUUUGUCCAGCCACUGAACUCUUUCUUGAAUGAGAAACAUUUCAUCCAUCUACACAGCUACUCCUCAGAGAUAAAAGUGUGGAUUAUGUAACAUUUGGGUCCAAACAGCGCCAGCAAGAGACCAAAACUGGAGGCCAGGAUGGCAAAUACCUCCACUGCAUCUGCAUAUUUGCCUGAACAAGGGAUGCAGUCAAAACAGCACACAGGUUCCCCUUUCUUUCUGGCCAUACGGGUGCCUGGAGGACAGCUUUCACUGCACACUGAGCGUGGCGGCUAUAGGGAGAAAAGCCGACCUCUUGACCUCACCCACAUUCUGCAGUUUAGUUCUUCCACUAGGGAGCCACAGCCAGUUCAUGAUGUCAUAUAUCGGUAAAGCAUCACCAUUUUCAUCAAAGGAUACUUGAUCACCAAAUGUUGUGGAGAAGUUGACCUUCUGCAAGUAAUACACUAACUAUGAAUGUCAGAAUAAAGGAGAGAGAAAAGAUUCAGACAUAAAGUAUAAUUCAAAAAGGAUUUAUACAUCAGAUUUAUACAUGUAUACAUUAACAGAUCCAACAAAAUCUUUCCUUUAAGAUGAAGUCACACAUCUGUGGAAGCUCUGAGAGUAAGUGAUCAAUUUUUUGAUGUCUUUGAGGACAAUUGUGUUUUCUUUCAGCUGUUGUUGUGUAGGUCAGGACGUAUUCGCAGCAGGAAUUCCCUGAGCCCUGGUAUUUCUCCUUGACGGAUGGCGAUGCCUAAUGUGCCAGCCAGGAUUAUGUUCCAUUCUGGUCCAAACAGUACCACCAAGAGACAAAACUGGAGGCCAGUAUGGCAGAUACCCCCAAUACAUCUGUAUAUUUGCCUGGUGAGCUGAUAUAAGAAGGGACAAAGGCCACCCACACAGCACAGAGGAUCGGCACUCUGCAAGUGAUGAGGAUUAUGUAACAUUUUGGUCCAAACAGCGCCAACAAGAGACCAAAACUGGAGGCCAGGAUGGCAAAUACCUCCACUGCAUCUGCAUAUUUGCCUGAACAAGGGAUGCAGUCAAAACAGCACACAGGUUCCCCUUUCUUUCUGGCCAUACGGGUGCCUGGAGGACAGCUUUCACUGCACACUGAGCGGGGUGGCUAUAGGGAGAAAAGCCGACCUCUUGACCUCACCCACAUUCUGCAGUUUAGUUCUUCCACUAGGGAGCCACAGCCAGUUCAUGAUGUCAUAUAUCGGUAAAGCAUCACCAUUUUCAUCAAAGGAUACUUGAUCACCAAAUGUUGUGGAGAAGUUGACCUUCUGCAAGUAAUACACUAACUAUGAAUGUCAGAAUAAGGGAGAGAGAAAAGAUUCAGACAUAAAGUAUAAUUCAAAAAGGAUUUAUACAUCAGAUUUAUACAUGUAUACAUUAACAGAUCCAACAAAAUCUUUCCUUUAAGAUGAAGUCACACAUCUGUGGAAGCUCUGAGACUGUUGUUGUGUAGGUCAGGACGUAUUCGUAGCAGGAAUUCCCUGAGCCCUGGUAUUUCUCCUUGACGGAUGGCGAUGCCUAAUGUGCCAGCCAGGAUUAUGUUCCAUUCUGGUCCAAACAGUACCACCAAGAGACAAAACUGGAGGCCAGUAUGGCAGAUACCCCCAAUGCAUUUGUAUAUUUGUCUGGUGAGCUGAUAUAAGAAGGGACAAAGGCCACCCACACAGCACAGAGGAUCGGCAUUCUGCAAGUGAUGAGGAUUAUGUAACAUUUGGGUCCAAACAGUGCCAGCAAGAGACCAAAACUGGACGCCAGGAUGGCAAAUACCUCCACUGCAUCUGCAUAUUUGCCUGAACAAGGGAUGCAGUCAAAACAGCACACGGGCUCCCCUUUCUUUCUGGCCAUGCGGGUACCUGGAGGACAGCUCUCACUACACACUGAGCGGGGUGGCUAUACAGAGAAAAAUAAGUAUCUGUUAUCCUCCAUUACUUUACGCAGCGAUAAUGAGUUAUCCAUGAUGAGUCUGAAAAAUCAGACAUAACCUUUUUUGAUUCAAAGUUCCAGAAGAUUUUGUCUUCAUCAAGUGUGAGUUCUUCACCUUUGAAGGCAGACCUCUUGACCUCACCCACAUUCUGAACUUCCGUUCUUCCAUCAGGGAGCCACAGCCAGUUCAUGACAUCAUAUA